CACGUAGGGCGCGAGCGUUGUCCGGAAUUAUUGGGCGUAAAGAGCUCAUAGGCGGCCUGUUGCGUCCGCUGUGAAAGCCCCGGGGCUUAACCCCGGGUCGGCAGUGGAUACGGGCAGGCUAGAGGUAGGUAGGGGAGAAUGGAAUUCCCGGUGUAGCGGUGAAAUGCGCAGAUAUCGGGAGGAACACCGGUGGCGAAGGCGGUUCUCUGGGCCUUACCUGACGCUGAGGAGCGAAAGCGUGGGGAGCGAACAGG
rnacentral:rRNA from 1 species